rnacentral:rRNA from 1 species
AUGAACGCUAGCGGCAGGCUUAACACAUGCAAGUCGAGGGGUAUAGUAGCAAUACUAGAGACCGGCGCACGGGUGCGUAACGCGUAUGCAAUCUACCUUUUGCAGAGGGAUAGCCCAGAGAAAUUUGGAUUAAUACCUCAUAGUAUAAUAUUUUGGCAUCAAAGUAUUAUUAAAGUCACAACGGCAAAAGAUGAGCAUGCGUCCCAUUAGCUAGAUGGUAAGGUAACGGCUUACCAUGGCAACGAUGGGUAGGGGUCCUGAGAGGGAGAUCCCCCACACUGGUACUGAGACACGGACCAGACUCCUACGGGAGGCAGCAGUGAGGAAUAUUGGACAAUGGGCGCAAGCCUGAUCCAGCCAUGCCGCGUGCAGGAUGACGGUCCUAUGGAUUGUAAACUGCUUUUGUACAGGAAGAAACACUACUUCGUGAAGUAGCUUGACGGUACUGUAAGAAUAAGGAUCGGCUAACUCCGU